UGGAUGUAUUCCUGAGAGUGGUGUCAUUUGACUCCAUGGAAUUUUGAGCGACUCACAUCAAACCAAGAGCAUCAAAUCAUUCAGCAUGGAUCAUGAUGAAAAUUUAGAAGAAAAUUGCAAGGUUUCACAUUCCACUGUGAAAUACAAGAAGACAUUCUUUUAUUGUGUACUCGAGUAAUAUGAUUGACUGGCAAUAUAGUUCAAUCAAGAAUAGAGAGGAAUGCUGUCUCUCUCACAGCAGGAUAUUAGCAAACAAGGCAACAGUAUAUAUGGAUUUUCAUUAAAGAAAAAGGAGAAGCAACUUACAGAUUGAAUAGAAAAUAUGCACUUUGGCCUUUAGCUUCAAACAACAGUAAAAUGAUUGUUAUAAUAACUAAAUUGAUAGAGCCUGAUCUGUAAGCAGAAGUGCAAUGACUCUGUACAAAAUCUAUACAAUCUCAUGAUAUUUUAGAAAAAUGUAUGGCUUCAAAAUGCAUGAACUUACCUAAUGUUCUCCUGAAAAGUAAAUAGGACACAAAGGAAAAUAGAUAGUCAUGUUAG